UACGUAGGGUGCGAGCGUUGUCCGGAAUCACUGGGCGUAAAGGGCGCGUAGGCGGCAGGCCAAGCGUGUGGUGAAAGCCCGGGGCUCAACCCCGGGUCGGCCAUGCGGACUGGCGUGCUUGAGCACUGUAGGGGCGGGUGGAAUUCCGGGUGUAGCGGUGGAAUGCGUAGAGAUCCGGAAGAACACCGGUGGCGAAGGCGGCCCGCUGGGCAGGAAGAGUGGAGCGAUCCAUCGGCUGACGCUGAGGCGCGACAGCGUGGGGAGCAAACAGG
rnacentral:rRNA from 1 species